GUGCUCAAUUUGUCGGGACAUACACACUAAACUGGAAUGAUACUGUAAAGAUUAGCAUGGCCCUGCACAAAGAUGACUGGAAAAUUUAUAGCAGUUCCCUAUUUUA
ensembl:snRNA U6 U6 spliceosomal RNA